rnacentral:rRNA from 1 species
AUGUAGUGGUGGGGGAGCGUACCAUACGGUGUGAUGCAUGGCCGUAAGCACAGUGGGACAGUAUGUGUGUGCGAAUGUGGUGAUGAGUAGCGAGACGUGGGUGAGACCCCCCAGGCCGUAAACCCAAGGUUGCCAGGGGAAGGUGCGUCCGCCCUGGGUUAGUCGGGACCUAAGCUGUGGCCGAAAGGCGUAGGUGAUGGACAACAGGUUGAUAUUCCUGUACUACCGAUAACCGUUUGAGAGAAGGGAUGACACAGUAGGAUAAGCUAAGCACACUUUUGGUUAUGUGUGACCAAGCAUUGAGGCAGUCAAAGUAGGCAAAUCCGCCUUGAUAAUGCUGGGAUGUGAUGGGGAGCGAAAUUUAGUAGCGAAGUAGCUGAUUUCACACUGUCAGGCAAAGUCUCGAUCGAGGUUAAAGGUACCCGUA